CGCGAAUGGCUCAUUAUAACAGCUAUAAUUUACUUGAUCUUGACACAAUCCUACUUGGAUAACUGUGGUAAUUCUAGAGCUAAUACAUGCAUUAAAGCUCUGACCUCACGGGAAGAGUGCAUUUAUUAGAACAAAACCAAGCGGCUUCGGCUGUUUCUGGUUGACUCAUAGUAACUGAGCUGAUCGCAUGGUCUUGCACCGGCGACGUGUCUUUCAAGUGUCUGCCGUAUCAACUUUCGAUGGUAGUGUAUCUGACUACCAUGGUGAUCACGCGUAACGGAGAAUAAGGGUUCGGCUCCGGAGAGUUCGCCUGAGAAAUCGCGAACACAUCUAAGGAAGGCAGCAGGCGCGAAAAUUACCCACUCUCAGCACGAGGAGGUAGUGACGAAAAAUAACGAGACCGUUCUCUUAUGAGGCCGGUCAUCGGAAUGGGUACAAUUUAAACCCUUUAACGAGUAUCUAUGAGAGGGCAAGUCUGGUGCCAGCAGCCGCGGUAAUUCCAGCU
rnacentral:rRNA from 1 species